UACGGAGGAUGCAAGCGUUAUCCGGAAUGAUUGGGCGUAAAGGGUCCGCAGGUGGCUAUGUAAGUCUGCUGUUAAAGAACCUAGCUUAACUAGGUAAAAGCAGUGGAAACUACAAGGCUAGAGUGCGUUCGGGGUAGAGGGAAUUCCUGGUGUAGCGGUGAAAUGCGUAGAUAUCAGGAAGAACACCAGUGGCGAAGGCGCUCUACUAGGCCGCAACUGACACUGAGGGACGAAAGCUAGGGGAGCGAAUGGG
rnacentral:rRNA from 1 species